UGAAGGAACUGAGGGGCAGGGAAAGA
rnacentral:piRNA from 1 species